UGUAAUCCUGUGAGAAGCCUGAACCCAGCACUUUAUGAUCCUGACUUGAUACAGUUGGAGGACUAAAGGAUUCUUUCUGAGGAGCUUUUGACAAGGAGAUGCUGAGAGAGAAAGUUGGAAACAACAGAGAAGAAAGAAUACAAAGGCCUCAUCCUCACUAUCAGAGGAAAUAAUUGACAACGCAAGAGUAUUGGAAAGAAGCAAAUGUUUAGCCGAAGUGGAAGGCAGUUCUAGCAAGGCAAAUGCCAACCUAAUGGAGUCAUGCUUCUCAUGCUUGAACAUCAGUCGAAUCAAUAGCACAAGAAUAGCUGUGGAAACUAGUACUGUGUCAAAAUGUGUCUGCCAGUUUCUCAAAAGUACUACCCUCCACCCCGCCAGCAAAAGAGACUUCCAUUUGUCACACUUUCUGGAACGUCAUAGGAACAACAGGCAAUCCCAUGAAUUACUAUGCCACAAAUUACUGUGAAUUACUAUUCCAUGUCAAUAUAUUUUGUAAUUGAAUAAUAGCACACUAUUUGAUUCAUGUACUGUAUAUGGAAGGAUAUAGAAGUCAUUUAAGAUGUGUCAGGACAGCAUUUUGUUUUUUAAGGUGUUGAUGCUUAAGCUGUUUCUGGGGAAAGAGAGAGAUCACUAGGCAAAACACCUAGGCAUAAAAAUAUUUUGGAUAUUCGAGUGGAUUAAUAGAAGUUACUAAGAGCAUCUCCUGUGAAUUAUUAUAGAUAUUUUGCUCUAUAUACAAAUUGAGAGGGACAUCUCUUAGGCACCCUCAGGACAGAACUUGAGCACUUAAACAUUGCUAUAUAUUCUAAUUUUUAUAACCAGACUUUUGCAAAGGUAGUUGUAGAUAGCUGUGACAUUCCUCAUUGUUUACCAUUUCUCAGACUUGCUGACUUGACUUCCUUCAAGCUAGGCAAGUGGUAUUUGAACAGGUCUGUUUCUGACCUAAAGUUUGCCCCUACUAAAGCAGACAUUGAUCCUGCUAAAUAUCUGGUAACAAAUAAGCAAUUUUGCUUUCUCUGUGCUUUCGAUUCAACAUUCACUAGUUACUGGGUUUCUAAAUGCCAAAAUAGGAAACCAGGGACCAAACGUAUUUAUGAACUAGAGGCAAAUAAAAUAAAAUAGAAGUUUAGCAGUAGUUUAAAAAUAUUUACAAAAAGAAAUGCAAUAAAAAAUGAAUGGAACAAAAGAGUCCAUAUGCUAUUAUGAAUGUAUAAUGCUUCUGUUUUUGAUGUAUUGGUUUAUAUUAUGUAUGUAAUGAGCUCUCACAGAUGGCAAAUAAUGACAGUUUUAGAGCAAAAGGUUUUUAGCUACUUAAGAAACGUUUUAAUGCCAAGUUUUCUGACAUUUUUUAUUUCACCGUGUUUACAUUUGUGUGACUUAAACAUAUAAACUAUACUAAUAUUUAGUCUUCAUAUGCUUCAUCUUAUGUUUACUUUGCUGAUGGUUAGACUUACAGAGAAUGAUGUAUCCAGAUUGUCAUCAUAACGCCAUCUAGAAUAAUAAUGAUCCAACAAAGAAAAACUUGAUUUUAACAUUCACUUGUUUCCAACACUCAUUGCAGAACCUUGAUUGAAAUUACUCAUUUACAAGUUUUAAAGCACUGGUGAACUUUAAAAUGAUGACAGAAGUGUUUAACUGCUAUUACUAUUAAUUUCCGGGCUGUUAUACUGCUGGUAAAUGUAUAUCAUGAAAGAAAGCAGAAACGCAUAAAUCUCCAUUAGUAGUAAAAAUGAAAUAAAGGAUGUUGACUAGAUAUAAUGUAGAAACUUCUCACCAAACAGACAAAACAGCAGAGACCAUUUUGGUUUGUAAUGAUAAACACAAAGGAAGGAAGACCCGGCUCACACACGCCUUUCUUUCUUUCUUUUUUACAGAAUAUAACUCAUGUAAAAUCAUAGUCACUUAUAGUUAUAGACCCAAAUUUUACACAUUAGAAUAUCCAUUGGAGGGAAAUGAACAGAAACAACCAGCAGUUGCUUUGGGGUGUGUGAACCUUAGUAUGAAGGGUAUGCUAGAAAUUCUCAAGGUUUGUUUUCCUGCUGCCAGGAGCCCUGCUCCUGAACAGAGUUUGGAAUAUGGAAAUCUUAUGCCGGCUUAAUUUAAACUGGUGUAAAUGACAUUGGCUUCUUAUAUUUAGGAUUGCUCUGUUCCUCCCGGGUAAGUAUGUCUAGGAUUGUAUCCUUAAUAUGAUUACUAUUUUUUGCUUCCUUGCUUGCUUGUUUAGGCUUUCACAAUCAAGGUGAGCUAGUAAAAGACAUCAGCCACAAACAAUGCAGCUCCUGAAACUUAAUCUAUGUUGGACUGGGUCACAAUCCAUAUUUAAAGCCUCUCAUUUUGUGGGAAAUCACAACAUAGUAACAACUCAUUGAAAUACGUGUGCUUGUUCCUCUGACUGUGAGUUACCAAAUUCUA